CUCGGCGGAGGCUUCCACUCGCCUUGCCACUUCUUCCACCAUGACCAGGGCCCUACUAGAUUCCGGCGCUGAGGCCCUAUUGCGGUCAUACAGAGAUAGAGACCUCAUGUCCUUAGAGGACAAGGAUGAGAGGGAUAAGCUCAAGGCUGCCAUUAAGACUUUGGCGAGCUCUGACAUUUUUCUAGACCCAUGCUGAGCCGCUAUGAUCACAUAUCUCUUUAGUCAGGUGGGAGAAGUUUGCCCCCCGCCGCCUUUCUUUUCUGGAGGAGCAAAGAAUAAGUCAAGACCUGGAGUAGCGGAUUACCUCAUGUAGUGCAACCAUGAGGAGGUAGAUCGAGAUUGCCCGCCACAUGUAACAAGAGGUUGCGGAUAUUGAUGAGCAGGUGAGGCAGCUACAAGAAAGCAGGGUCACCAUUGUUGCCAGAGUCUCCGAGAUUGUUCGGAGCAAUAGGCUUCUCGAGGCUCAACUUCGGCAAGAUGCGUGACAGGACCCGUCCCGAAUUUCCUCGGAAACCUGGACAAAUCCCGUCUUGUUACUGACAUCACCUCGAUCGGGCCCACUUACUAAAAACUGAGACAUUCUACCAAAAAUUUGGUAGAGUCUCCCCUGUAAAUUGAAUGUUUCCCAAAAUUCAACCUGCUCAAAAUUCACAGUUUAAAAUACCCAACCGGCAGCAUGCUUUAAAGCGAAUAAACAAUUUACAACAAAGGCCUCCGGCCUCAUAAAUCAACCCUAGCACGAGUGAUAACAGAGCAUAUCUAAGGAAUUCAAUUACAACAAAAACAAAGUUCAAGGAAAUUAAAUGAAAUAGGAGUCCUACGAAGGCUCAAGACUGGUAAGCACACAAUCCGGCUCGGCUACGGAGUUCAG
rnacentral:lncRNA from 1 species